AUGGCAACAGCCUGCUAUGAGUAGCCAGCCAGGGCAGAGGCCGGGCUGCAGGUGGAGGCGGGGAAGCGAUUCCGGCCACCUUUGUGAUGGGCGUCUCACUACCUACAAAGUCAGCCCAAUGAUUUCAAGACAGCCCUGGAGACAGUGCUUCCUGCCCCCCUGUCAGCUUCUGCCUCCCUGUAAUGUGUUCUGUGUGGUCUAGCUCAGUCAUCUGGAGACACACACAGGCUUUGCUCACUCUCCUGGGAGCGAUCUGGAAAGCUGCACUUGUGCUCCCUUCCUCGUAGGUUUGCUGUGGAACAGUUGUGGCUUCUGUGGCUCCUCAGGCCCGGGGGCGCCCCUUGAACCCUCCACUUUUGGCUCCAAGCACCUUCCCUGGGAAGCUGUAUCUGCUGGGUUCGCAGACAGGAACAGAAACAUGGAUGGAGCCAUGUGGCUGAGCCUCUGUCCUGAUAACGAAGACCUGCUUUGGAGGAAAAAGCACAAAUUGCUACAAGCCCGGGGCAAAGGCGAUCUUGCUCUGCAGAGAAGAGCGGAUGCCAAGCUGUGGAAAAACUACCAGCUCCAGCGCUUGGCUGAGGAG
rnacentral:sRNA from 1 species